rnacentral:rRNA from 1 species
UACGUAGGGAGCAGGCGUUGUCCGGAUUUACUGGGUGUAAAGAGCGCGUAGGCGGGGCUGCAAGUCAGAUGUGAAAUGCAGAGGCUUAACCUCUGAGCUGCAUUUGAAACUGUAGUUCUUGAGUAUCGGAGAGGCAGGCGGAAUUCCUAGUGUAGCGGUGAAAUGCGUAGAUAUUAGGAGGAACACCAGUGGCGAAGGCGGCCUGCUGGACGACAACUGACGCUGAGGCGCGAAAGCGUGGGGAUCAAAC